UACGGAGGGGGCUAGCGUUGUUCGGAAUUACUGGGCGUAAAGCGCACGUAGGCGGACUGUUAAGUCGGGGGUGAAAUCCUGGGGCUCAACCUCAGAAUUGCCUCCGAUACUGGCAGUCUCGAGUGCGGGAGAGGUGAGUGGAAUUCCCAGUGAUAGAGGUGAAAUUCGUAGAUAUUGGGAAGAACACCAGUGGGCGAAGGC
rnacentral:rRNA from 1 species